UACGAAGGGGGCUAGCGUUGCUCGGAAUCACUGGGCGUAAAGGGUGCGUAGGCGGGCCUUUAAGUCAGGGGUGAAAUCCUGGAGCUCAACUCCAGAACUGCCUUUGAUACUGAGGAUCUUGAGUUCGGGAGAGGUGAGUGGAACUGCGAGUGUAGAGGUGAAAUUCGUAGAUAUUCGCAAGAACACCAGUGGCGAAGGCGGCUCACUGGCCCGAUACUGACGCUGAGGUGCGAAAGCGUGGGGAGCAAACAGGG
rnacentral:rRNA from 1 species